rnacentral:misc_RNA from 1 species
GAUGAAGAACGUAGCGAAAUGCGAUAAGUAAUGUGAAUUGCAGAAUUCAGUGAAUCAUCGAAUCUUUGAACGCACAUUGCGCCCGCCAGCAUUCUGGCGGGCAUGCCUGUUCGAGCGUCAUUUCAACCCUCGAGCCCCCCCGGGGGCCUCGGUGUUGGGGGACGGCACACCAGCCGCCCCCGAAAUGCAGUGGCGACCCCGCCGCAGCCUCCCCUGCGUAGUAGCACACACCUCGCACCGGAGCGCGGAGGCGGUCACGCCGUAAAACGCCCAACUUUCUUAGAGUUGACCUCGGAUCAGGUAGGAAUACCCGCUGAACUUAAGCAUAUCAAUAAGCCGGAGGA